CAACACAAACCUCCCCUCCACUCACAUAUGCUGUGCUUGGUUCUGGUUGGAAGCGGACUUCACAUCGCUGAUGUCACUUGUUUACCAUCUUCCAGUCAGGCGUACGAUUGUUAUGAUGGGGCUUUGAUGUGAGGGGACCGAUGCCGUGCCACUGGAGGAGCUUUUUUGGCGAGGUCUGGAGAGAUGGAGGGAUGGAGGCAGGAGAAGACAGGACGAGUGUGCAUCCAGAGGUUUCUUUGCUGCUGCUGCAGAACUGGUGUAAACAAGCCAGGCUUGCGUGUGACACAGUUUCUACUGCGCAGCUCUCUCUCAGCAUUCUCUCUGCAUUUUUACUGGGCAAUAGAGACUCCUCCUAGUGGUCAGAGCUUUCUCUAGAACUGAAGCUCUGUUUGAAGGAAUUCUCCCCCCAUUUCCAUCUCCCCCCCAAUUCCCCCAACUGACCCACAUCUGCAGUAUAUGGUUGAUUAACACAGACAAUAAUUUCACAUUAGUAAAAAGUAAAUAAAUCCUGAAACCUGA